rnacentral:rRNA from 1 species
CCCUUAGAUGUUCUGGGCUGCACGCGCGCUACACUGAUGCACUCAACGAGUUUACGACCUUGCCCGAUAGGGUUGGGUAAUCUUUUUAAAAUGCAUCGUGAUGGGGAUAGAUUAUUGCAAUUAUUAAUCUUCAACGAGGAAUUCCUAGUAAGCGCGAGUCAUCAGCUCGUGCUGAAUACGUCCCUGCCCUUUGUACACACCGCCCGUCGCUCCUACCGAUUGAGUGCUCAGGUGAAUAAUUCGGACUGCAGCAAUGUUUGGAUCCCGAACGUUGCAGCGGAAAGUUUAGUGAACCUUAUCACUUAGAGGAAGGAGAAGUCGUAACA